GUCAACUUGAAGAAAUGUGUUUUCCUGCAAACACAACUUCUUUUCCUAGGAUUCGUCAUAACAUGUGACGGCAUUCGUGUUGAUGAUUCUAAGGUUGAAGCAAUCCGAGAAUGGCCAACUCCUAAGACCAUUUCUGAGGUAAGAAGCUUUCAUGGCCUUGCAACUUUCUAUAGGCGAUUUGUUAAGAAUUUCAGCACUAUCAUGGCACCAAUUACCGAGUGUUUGAAGAAAGGAAAGUUCCAAUGGGCAGAAGCAGCUGAAGCUAGCUUCAAUGAGAUUAAACAAAAGCUAUCACAAGCUCCUGUCUUGGUACUACCUGAUUUCAACAAGACUUUUGAGUUGGAGUGUGAUGCAAGUGGAGUAGGCAUUGGAGCUGUCCUAUCUCAAGAAAGGAAGCCCAUUGCUUUCUUUAGUGAGAAGUUAAGUGAAGCUAGACAGAAAUGGAGUACCUAUCAGUAA
rnacentral:rRNA from 1 species